rnacentral:rRNA from 1 species
UACGAAGGGUGCAAGCGUUACUCGGAAUUACUGGGCGUAAAGCGUGCGUAGGUGGUCUGUUAAGUCUGAUGUGAAAGCCCUGGGCUCAACCUGGGAAUUGCAUUGGAUACUGGCAGGCUAGAGUGCGGUAGAGGGUAGUGGAAUUCCCGGUGUAGCAGUGAAGUGCGUAGAGAUCGGGAGGAACACCAGUGGCGAAGGCGACUACCUGGACCAGCACUGACACUGAGGCACGAAAGCGUGGGGAGCAAACAGG